CGCACUUGGUAACACACGCUUGUCGCUUGUAUGCCGACGAGGUUGUGUUUCACGGAACUGAAAAUGAAAUUUACACUAGAAAUAGCUGAAGUACGUAAAAGUUAAGAGUGCUCUAGUCCUGCGGGAAAGCAAAUCAGACAAAUUUUUCUCACCAUGGCUGGAAACACAGAUGACCCAUUUGAGCACUUGCUUAAUAUGUACCGAAAUAUUUCGGAGAUGUGUGUUCUGCACUGCGUUUCGAAGCGAAGGCCAGGGACACCCAGACGUGGAGAGGUGCUGUGUGUUGAAUACUGUAUAGCAGAUGAAAUGCAGCAUUUGAGGAAGUCUACAAUAAACAGAUUACCAAACUACAAGAAAGUCUAAUUAUCUGAAUUGUUUACAUGUGAAUAUGUAAUUCUUAAUAAAGAGUGAUG